CCUACGGGGGCAGAAGUGAGGAAGAGUGGUCAAGGGACGAGAGUCGGAACCAGCCAAGGAGCGUGAAGGAGGACGGACCUAGGGGUGGUAAACUUCUUGUAUAAAGGAAUAAAACGAGGCACGUGGGCCGUUUUGCAGGUACUGUAUGAAUAAGGAGCGGCUAACUCCGUGCCAGCAGCCGCGGUAAUACGGAGGAUCCGAGCGUUAUCCGGAUGGAUGGGGUUUAAAGGGAGCGGAGAGGGGUUGUUAAGUCAGUUGUGAAGGUUUGCUGCUCAACCGUAAAAUUGCAAUUGAUACUGGCAGUCUUUAGUACAGUUGCGGUAGGCGGACUUCGUGUUGUAGCGG
rnacentral:rRNA from 1 species